GAUGAACGCUGGCGGCGUGCCUAAUACAUGCAAGUCGAGCGAACAGACGAGGAGCUUGCUCCUCUGACGUUAGCGGCGGACGGGUGAGUAACACGUGGAUAACCUACCUAUAAGACUGGGAUAACUUCGGGAAACCGGAGCUAAUACCGGAUAACAUGUUGAACCGCAUGGUUUAACAGUGAAAGAUGGUCUUGCUGUCACUUAUAGAUGGAUCCGCGCCGCAUUAGCUAGUUGGUAAGGUAACGGCUUACCAAGGCAACGAUGCGUAGCCGACCUGAGAGGGUGAUCGGCCACACUGGAACUGAGACACGGUCCAGACUCCUACGGGAGGCAGCAGUAGGGAAUCUUUCGCAAUGGGCGAAAGCCUGACGGAGCAACGCCGCGUGAGUGAAGAAGGUCUUCGGAUCGUAAAACUCUGUUAUUAGGGAAGAACAAAUGUGUAAGUAACUAUGCACGUCUUGACGGUACCUAAUCAGAAAGCCACGGCUAACUACGUG
rnacentral:rRNA from 1 species